ensembl:snRNA U6 U6 spliceosomal RNA
GUGCUAAUUUUGGCAGCACAUAUACUAAAAUUGGAGCAAUACAGAUGAUUAGCAUGUCUCUUGCACAAUGAUGACUUGCAAAUUCCUGAAGCAUUCCAUAUUCCU